GGAAGCGAACGGGGCCCGGUGGCCCUCCCGGUCUUCAAAACCGGUCGCCUCCUGCCACGAGCGGGAGGGCUGGGUUCAACUCCCAGGCGCUUCCGCCA
rnacentral:tRNA from 1 species